CGUAGGGACCAAGCGUUGUUCGGAUUUACUGGGCGUAAAGGGCGCGUAGGCGGCUUGACAAGUCACUUGUGAAAUCUCCGGGCUUAACUCGGAACGGCCAAGUGAAACUGUCAUGCUAGAGUGCAGAAGGGGCAAUCGGAAUUCUUGGUGUAGCGGUGAAAUGCGUAGAUAUCAAGAGGAACACCUGAGGUGAAGACGGGUUGCUGGGCUGACACUGACGCUGAGGCGCGAAAGCCAGGGGAGCAAACGGGAUUAGAUACCCCGGUAGUCCUGGCCCUAAACGAUGAAUACUUGGUGUCUGGAGUUAUUAGUGCUCCGGGUGCCGUCGCUAACGUUUUUAGUAUUCCGCCUGGGGAGUACGCUCGCAAGAGUG
rnacentral:rRNA from 1 species